AGCCAUCCUUUAAAGAAAGCGUAACAGCUCACUGGUCUAAAUAAGAGAUCCUGCGGCGAAAAUGUAACGGGGCUCAAGACGUGCACCGAAGCUUUGGGUGUGGAUUUAUCCACGCGGUAGCGGAGCGUUCCGUAAGUCAGUGAAGCGGUCUGGUAAUGGGCCGUGGAGAUAUCGGAAGUGCGAAUGCUGACAUGAGUAGCGACAAACAG
rnacentral:ncRNA from 1 species